GGGACUCUGUUGCUAUGACAAUGACGUCAAUGUUGGUGUCGAGUAACCAAAGGUCAAAAUAAAGACAAGUGAAUGAAAACGGAAGGAAACUUAACGGGCUGCCUAGAAUAGGAACCAACAUGACCGAAUCGACUCAAACUUCAAACUGUUUCACUGCAGUGGGUGUCAACCUAACGUUGUCUGGGAAUCAUCGUUUUAUUCGCGGCAAAAUGCAAGACUACAGGCAGCAAUGCCUCUGACACGGGUGCCUGGAUUCGCCACAGACAUCAUCAACAGUUGCAGUCAAUGUGUUACCGGCUAGAUGGCCACUUUCCAUAUGGUUUACUGCACUUACAGAGAUGUACCUGCAGGAUGAAGCCUGCAUAGUUUCUAACAUGCUUGAUGGUCGUGUUCCUUCUCUCUAAAUUUUCCAUUACUUGUCAACAUUGUGACAUUUUCAUCGGCUGAGCACAAUAUUGCCUGUGACUAAAGUUGUGAAUACACCAGGUAGUUUGGAGCUGUAAACAUCCCCGACUGGAAGCUGUCUAUCCGCAGAGCUUUCAGUCUGAUGUUUACUUCUGCCGACUGCCUCCUGCUCCGCAGAUAUGGAAGAGCUGUGUCAUUUUAUUUGCUUCUCUAAAAUCCAAACUUAUUUGUCUUGGGAAGGUUGUAUUAAUAGGUACUAAUUGAGCCACAACGUUCUGGUGGCUUAUAUCCUCGAUAUCAGUUGUUCAGAGUCAGUUCAUGUAAACAUCCUACACUCAGCUGUAAUCAGUUGCAGCAGAGGCUGAGAGAAGGUUGUUUACUUGAACUGCCUGGAAGUGACACAUUCACAUCAAGAUCACAGGAUUAUAAGGUCAGUUAUUCUGUUUAAGAAAACAUACAAAAAACAAUUAGAAGAAAGAUUAAGUAUUAAGUAUUUAGUAUCCAAACAGAUGUAACUCUUAUAUAUGUGGUCUUUUCUUACCAUUUCAUACCAU